CUCAAGUCCCCGUUAUCACUUGUAAUCAAGGAUUUAUAGUGUUCUCUUCCCCUAUUCUUGAUGCAAACACCAACUUGAAGGGGACUAGGAAAUAGGAUGGAGUCUAAAGAAAUUUUAGAAGAGUACAAAAAAUUUUACAGUUCCUCUAUGAAUUUGAUGAUUUCUUGCUAGAUGUCUCAAUAGUACAUGUAAAGAUAAUCAGUCUAUCCAAUAUAAUUUUAAUCAUCUACAAUCCAUGUACAAGAUCUGAAACUCAAAGAACUACAUUUUACUAAUUUCAGGUUUUGUCUCCACAGAGAUCUGCUUUGAGAUGACUACAGCAAGGGUAUAUGGCUUGACAGGAAUUUCGUUAGAGAUCUUAACACAGCAGACUUCAUCUCAAGUGGUCACUUCCACAAAAGUGACCUUCAGAGCCUGUGAGAG
ensembl:lncRNA